AAAAGUAGCGAAUAGAACAGGCGGCUAUCACUCCUGACUAAUAUCAGAUCUUAUAAGAGAGGUGGGAUUGCCACCCCGCCUACUUUC
rnacentral:ncRNA from 12 species